rnacentral:rRNA from 1 species
GACGAACGCUGGCGGCGUGCCUAAUACAUGCAAGUAGAACGCUGAAGGAGGAGCUUGCUUCUCUGGAUGAGUUGCGAACGGGUGAGUAACGCGUAGGUAACCUGCCUGGUAGCGGGGGAUAACUAUUGGAAACGAUAGCUAAUACCGCAUAAGAGUAGAUGUCGCAUGACAUUUGCUUAAAAGGUGCAAUUGCAUCACUACCAGAUGGACCUGCGUUGUAUUAGCUAGUUGGUGAGGUAACGGCUCACCAAGGCAACGAUACAUAGCCGACCUGAGAGGGUGAUCGGCCACACUGGGACUGAGACACGGCCCAGACUCCUACGGGAGGCAGCAGUAGGGAAUCUUCGGCAAUGGAUGGAAGUCUGACCGAGCAACGCCGCGUGAGUGAAGAAGGUUUUCGGAUCGUAAAGCUCUGUUGUAAGAGAAGAACGAGUGUGAGAGUGGAAAGUUCACACUGUGACGGUAUCUUACCAGAAAGGGACGGCUAACUACGUG